AUGUGGAGACUUAUUUCAGGGGUCUUCAAACCUCUCCAGGCUCAACCUAUAGCAAGAUGGGAGCAGGAGAGCCUUUCUUGGGGAAUUUGGUUUGUCUGGAGCAGUCGCAGGUGGUAGAUCCUGCUGUUCAGGACUGGUCUAAUUAAUGUGAGACCCAGCAUCCAUGUGCUCCUGGCCACGCUAACGACCUGGAACGGGCUUGAGGAGGCAGACGAGGUGUUGGCUUCAUUUGAAAAGGCUGUGGAACCAUCCUGGGCUCUGAAGGGGCUCCUGCUGCCACCUCUUCCUUGGGUGGGAAGACCUGGGGCAUGGGAUUCUUCAUUCUUGCGAACACCCCUGUAACCUCAGAAGGGUGAGGUGAUGCCCAAGGACUCUUGGUCGGAUGCCAGAAGCUGGUGCGGUCUCAGAUGUCUCAUGGAGUCAUUUCUAGGGAUAGAAACGGGAUAUGCCAGCCAGAGGGAAGUGAUUUGAAAGUCCCACCAGCUGAGCAAGCCAAGAUGGUGAAGAAGAGCAGUGCUGCAGGAUGUGCCCCAGCACAAGUGCUUAACGAAGAGGGCUGAGCAGUUUGCAUCUGGGUUUUCUCGUUAAAAGGAUUAAUUGGAUAAGCAAUAAAUUCCUGGAUUCCCAAAGGAAACAUGUUCUCACCCAAAGUGAGAACUGCACAGAGCACCAGCAGCACCGGUGGCUGCUUGGUCACAUGGAGGAAGCGCUGCUGGUGGCUGCAGGACCUAGUGCUCGCCCGGCUGGAGCAGAGGGGACCCGGUGGGUGCCAGGGGCUGCACAGCUGGAAGGGAAACCAGGAGAGGUCAAGUCCUGCUGUGCCACAGCCCAAGCACAGGAGCAGAGCAUUUUUAGCAGAGAGAGAGAGCAAUACCGUGACGACGCAAUGCAAAAGGCUGCUGUGGUGAGCUUUUCAGAGGGGAGAAAUCAUUUUGGCAUAAGAAAAAUGGAGCAAGAAAACAUUUCUGUGGUUCAGACAGCAAAAGAGAUCAGCUGCAACUGCAGCAUCACCUUACGCCAGCUGAAGCAGGGAGGGCAUUGCAGAUAGGGCAGGUUGCAAAGUGUGAGAAGGAGCUCUU